CCUACGGGUGGCAGCAGUGGGGAAUAUUGGUCAAUGGGCGCAAGCCUGACCCAGCAACGCCGCGUGAAGGAAGACGGCUCUCGGGUUGUUAACCUCUUUUGUCAGGGACGUAGCAAGUGACGGUACCUGACGAAUAAGCCACGGCUAACUACGUGCCAGCAGCCGCGGUAAUACGUAGGUGGCAAGCGUUAUCCGGAUUUACUGGGUGUAAAGGGCGUGUAGGCGGGGAAGUAAGUCAGAUGUGAAAACCACGGGCUCAACCGUUAUCCUGCAUUUGACACUGUUUUUCUUGAGUGCUGGAGAGGCAAUCGGAAUUCCGUGUGUAGCGGUGAAAUGCGUAGAUAUACGGAGGAACACCAGUGGCGAAGGCAGAUUGCUGGACAGUAACUGACGCUGAGGCGCGAAAGCGUGGGGAGCAAACAGGAUUAGAUACCCCUGUAGUC
rnacentral:rRNA from 1 species